CCUAGACUCUCUGUAGCAGAUUUGGAAGUUGCGUUUGAGCGGAAAGGUGCACGUGGGUGGCGAGAGCGGGGUACUGGAGAGAGAGAAGAAGGAAGGAAGGAGAGCGAGCAAACGAACGAACGAACGAAGUCUUAGAUAAGCAUACUCUGAAAUCCUGCUCAGUGCUUUAGCAAACUUGAGGAUGUGCACACUCACCUGGUACUUCUAGCCGAAGAUGGAGAAGAGGCGGCAGGGAGGUACGCUGCUGCCCCGUGGCAUUUUACUAAACUCCAGUGCUGGGGUGGGGGUUGGGAGUUUGUGAGGUCCCACACCAGUAUGUGGAAGCAAUCACUGCAUGAGUCACCAUGCUGACUUGGCGCAUGACAUAUCUGGUAACAACAGAAGAAAGGCACACAUGCUAUGGAUAUUUUUAUCAUCAAUUACAGCUCAAGCCCCCAUUUCGCAAGAGGGCCGAUUUACCAGAGGAUUCAGAAUUGAUUACUGAACCUUUUAAGGAAACUUAGUUGCCACUACAUAAGUGUAAACACUCAUGCUUCAACAGCAGCAUAACUGCUUUUAAAAAAACAAACACUUUAUAACUCAAAGUCAGCCUUUUUGGGGUAUGCCAUGGGCUAGGUUAGCCCCCACGUGUUCACUCUUUGCAAUCCAAUCAGCAGUUUUGGAAAAGGUUAUAUCACUUCAGUAUGCUGUUGGGAGAUCACAUGUAUGAAUACCUCCUUGCUUAAAAAUGUCUUCCUUUAUAUAUAAAAUCAAGAGUUUAGGGCAAAGGCUAGGCAAUGGCCUGUUUCACAGAAUCAUUCUAAUCUAGGUUUAAUGUGGGUUACCAACAUCAGCGUGACUGCGUGAACCCACAAUUUGAAUCUGAAAUUUCUCCCUUGGCUUGGGUUCACACAAUCACACUGAUGUUGGUAAACCAGAUUAAACCUAGAUUUGAAUGAUGGUGUGCAUCGGAUCAUUUAGCACCCUUCUCCAUAACAUGAUAACUUUCCACAGAAAGAGAUUUUAUGAUGUGGGGAACAUUCAGACAUUUAGUCCUUGACUUGCAUUCUUCAGUACAUACUACGAUAUGCUUUUUCUGAAUGUGUAGCUAGGUCCACAGCAUCAGCUUCCUGUUGAACACAUGGAAAUAACAGGGAUCGGUCUCAUGGUUAUAUUACUUAUGGGCUGCAAGACAUAAAGAACUACUACUGUCUGCCCAGACCUCAGCUAGGACAAAGUAUAAAGAUGUAUACAACGAACAGUAGCUUUGGAUAGAAUGCAUUUCCAAGAUGAGCGAGAUGGAAGGCAUUGUUGCUGAGGAACAGAAAGCAUGGAGAAUCUGAGCAUUUUCUUCCUGCAUGGUAAGAUCAUGUCUGCGCAUCUCUCCCUGCCACAACCUAGGCAGGACUGACAUCAGGAACACAGGUUGACACUUUAAGAUGGUGGUGCAUCAGAAAAUCUUCUGUCAUGUGGCUCAAAAACAAUAAUUUGAGAUGCUUCACACAAUUGGUACCUGCGAUUUCUGUUCUUCAACCUGAGAACAUUUAUGAUCUGAUGAUGCACUGUUUUCACUGUAUAAACUUACUUUCCUUCUCUCAUUACUAAAAAAAGACAUCUAAACCUUUCUGCUUUUUGAAGCUAUUUCUUCCCUGUCUUUUCCUAACUCUGUUCCUAACCUAUGAAGCCGUAACAAAACACAACCAAAAAAACCCCCAAUAUAUAAAAAUGUAUUUUGUAGCGUUUGAGGCCAGUUUUCAAAAAGGCUAUCUGAAAUAUAUGAAAGAUAGCGAGGCUGCUCACACAAGCAGCCCUACCUGGACUUGUGCAGUCCUACCAGGAAAGGGCUGCUCAUGUGAAGCACUGGAAUCAUGGCUGAUCCCAGAGCUGCCGAUCCCAGUGCUGCUCUGCCGGGUAGCCCCGAGUUUAACACCGGGCUUUUACCUGGGUGUAAAGGCACGAGCGUGCCCUUCUACCCAGGUCCCCAGCCGUGUGUCUGCUCAGGCUGCAGACCCAAGUAGACACAGUGCAAUGCAUUGGGGGAUUCCCCUGGGAGUUGGUGUUCUAGAUGCCCGACUCUGUGUAUGGUAUGCUCAGGCUGCAUGUAGCCCGAGCAUACACAUGACCCCAGACCUGGGAUAAAGGGCACACCCGUGCGCUUUAACCCAGGUGAACGCCCAGUUAAAAACUCGGGAUUAAAACUCUGGGUUAAAAAACUUGGAGCCGGAUCUCACGAUCAGGUCUCACGAUCACGGUUUUUGUGAGUGCGCAGGGAGAGCAGGCUAAGCUGUUCGCCUCUCCUCUGGGGGUCUCCUCAUGAGUAGCCGCGCUGCGGAGCCGUGCUGCGGCUACUCACGAUUGGGAAGCUGGGUUCCCGGGCUAAGGGGAGGGCUACAAAAGCGGGCUAGCCGCUUGUAAGCCACUGGGCUUGCCUGUGAGCCUGGUGGUUUACGUGAUCAGCAAAAAUCGGGCUAGGCUUUCCUUGGGCUACUGGGGGAGGCAGUGCCAGGAUCAGCUUCAAUCCUGGUGCUGCACAUGAGUAGCCCUCUAGGACUGCUUAUGUGCACAGCCUCAAUAUCUGACUCUUUGUGUGAAUGGUUUUUGUAGUUACUUGUUUGCUGUGAAAGCCAAUAGGAAGCCGGAAGAGGGAGUGGAAAUAGGAAGCAAGAAGAGUUACCAGCAACAAAAAGAUUGAAAUGCAUAGCCCAUGGCUGGCAUAGGCCUAUGUCAUACCUCUCUUCCCUUCCUGGGUUCUUUUCAAACCAUUAUAUCAAAUCACCCGCUGAUAAUAUAAUAAGUGCUGCCCAAAUAUCAAAUCUUAAUAUUUCCAAUCUGGCAAUACCUUUGUUAGAACCAUCCAAAAUGAUACAAACUCUUAAGCAAGCUUUCACGCUCUCAAGAAUUCUUCUUCAUCCGCUGGAUGUUAAGAAAAGCACAGGACAAAAGUAUAACUGGGCAUUGUAUAAUAGCUGUAAAAGUCUGCAAGUUGUAACACUUGAGAUGAUGUACAGGAUGAGUUAAGUAGACUCCUGUUGAUGAGCUUCAUUAAAUGCUGAAUAUGAUCCCAGGCUGCUGCAUUCAGGGUUCUUGGGAUGAAGAAGCUUGCUUAAAAUCUUGUGUCAUUUUGGUUGGUCCUAAUAAAGGUAUUACCAGAUUACAGCUUUUAGGUUUUUAUAAUGGACCAGCACAGCUAUCUUUUAUUUAUUUAUUAUAAAGUAUUUUCACUUUCACUGGGCUUGGGCAGCUUUGAAGUAGGAAAGCUUAUUUAUUUUAUACCAGAGAGAAAUAAAACCUGAAAUGAUACAAAUUGGAAAAAUAGCAUGAAAAAGCAUAACAAUACUGAGCUGUCUUUAGAGAUGAAUUAUCACCAAGUAAAUUGGGAGCUCUGUUUAGUUGACUCAUAUUUCCUGAGAAAUUCUAUAGGCAUAUCAUUUAUUAAGGAACAACUGGAGGUGGUAUAGCGGCAUUUAUAACCAUUCAAAAAUAUGUUUAAGCAUUAUUCUGCAAAUGCAUUACCCCAGGACUAUAUUCAAGUGUGAGCUGUUUAAAUGUGUGUUAUGUAAAGAACCUGGCUCAAUAGUUCACAUGCAUUAGAAUGACCUUAACUACCUGAACUGUUAUUUCAAGGAGGAAUGAGUGGUUCUCUCAAAGCAGUUUCAACCGAAUAUAGAAUUUGAAUUGUUGUGAAUGCUGCUCUAGUCAGAACAUCCGCAGUUGACCCCCAGUGAAUUGGAUCAAAAGUGAGUUUUCUGUAGAUUUUGGGGAACAGACACAGGGCCAAUUCUUCAAACAAUGCUGCAACAUGCUACUACAGAAUUCACAUGGGAAGCUGCUUGUAGGAAUGCCUUCACCCACCUCUAAGCAGUGCCCCGUGUCCUAUGCCAGAAGCUCUAAAUUUAUUUACAGCAGGGAUAUUUCAUACAUAAGUGACACCCAUGUGAAUUCUAAGGUGGCACUGAUAUAGAAAUGUUUAAUCCAGGCUCACAAAUAACUAAGUGUAUAAAAGUUUGGUUCAGGAUUCUAACAGAAUGUAGGGCCAGUAGGCCUGAACAAGAUUGUUUGAGUCAAGGCCCAUUGGCCAAGACGUAAAAAUUCCAGAGCCUGACAGGAGAUAACGUAUGUAGCCAAGGUCAUGAGACAGAUUCCCCACUCAGCAGAAUAAGAAGCAUAGCUGGCACCAGAAGAUACUGAUUAUGGAGGGCAGAAAGGCCAAACUCAUGUCCAAGGCUGCUCUAAUUGGUACCACAUGAAUACAUCUGUUUAAUUACAAUGUACUGAUGGAUUUACUUGCUUAUUUUUAAUCUAUAUAAACUAGCAACUGAGUAACUUUGGAGCGCAAUGCAUGUCCGACUACUGACUUGUACUCUGCCUUCAUGAUCAUGAAUAAAAGCUAAUUUGAGCACA